rnacentral:rRNA from 1 species
UACGUAGGGGGCGAGCGUUGUCCGGAUUUACUGGGCGUAAAGGGCAUGCAGGCGGUCGGACGCGUUUUGUGUGACAGCGGGUGGCUCAACUGCCCGAGCAUACGAAAGACGGUUUGACUUGAGGGCUCGAGAGGGACACGGAAUUCCGGGUGGAGUGGUGAAAUGCGUAGAAAUCCGGAGGAACACCGAAGGCGAAGGCAGUGUCCUGGCGAGUGACUGACGCUGAGGUGCGAAAGCCAGGGGAGCGAACGGG